rnacentral:rRNA from 1 species
GACGAACGCUGGCGGCGUGCCUAAUACAUGCAAGUCGAACGCUUCUUUCCUCCCGAGUGCUUGCCCUCAAUUGGAAAGAGGAGUGGCGGACGGGUGAGUAACACGUGGGUAACCUACCCAUCAGAGGGGGAUAACACUUGGAAACAGGUGCUAAUACCGCAUAACAGUUUAUGCCGCAUGGCAUAAGAGUGAAAGGCGCUUUCGGGUGUCGCUGAUGGAUGGACCCGCGGUGCAUUAGCUAGUUGGUGAGGUAACGGCUCACCAAGGCAACGAUGCAUAGCCGACCUGAGAGGGUGAUCGGCCACACUGGGACUGAGACACGGCCCAGACUCCUACGGGAGGCAGCAGUAGGGAAUCUUCGGCAAAGGACGAAAGUCUGACCGAGCAACGCCGCGUGAGUGAAGAAGGUUUUCGGAUCGUAAAACUCUGUUGUUAGAGAAGAACAAGGACGUUAGUAACUGAACGUCCCCUGACGGUAUCUAACCAGAAAGCCACGGCUAACUACGUG